ensembl:lncRNA
GUAAUUCACAUCCCAGUUCACUGCAUUCAUUUAGAGAGUAUACCAGUAAUUCACAUCCCAGUUCACUGCAUUCAUUUAGAGAGUAUACCAGUAAUUCAGUUCCAUACACAAGGUUAACAGAUACUCUUUCAGCGAUCGGUAUAAACAUCUCUGUCAUUUUCCCUUAAAAUAAACUGGUUCAUUCGUUGGCUGGAGGCCACGGUGGUAAUCAAAUCAACGGGUACAAACCUGGAGAAGGGCUGUUAGAUUUAUUACCCCUAGGUGUGUGUGCUGUUUUUGGGGGGUUUACCAAUAAGUAAAUAAGUAUUUUCUGAACUGCAGUGGUUUAAAGUACUUAAGUAAAACAAAUAAUGAUACUUUAAUGUACUACUCAAGUAUUUUUUUGGGGGGGGGGUAUCUGUACUUUACUAUUUAUAUUUUUUGACAACUUUUAUUUUUACCUCACUACAUUCCAAAAGAAAAUAAUGUACUUUUUAUUCUCAUAUAUUUCCCCCUGACACCCAAAAGUACUCGUUACAUUUAGCAUUCUCAAGCAGGACAGCACUAUGGUCCCAUUCACACACUUAUCAAGAGCAGGUGUUGUCGUCCCUACUGCCUCUAAUCUGGAGGACUCACUAAACAGAGAACAUCCCUGGUCGUCCCUACUGCCUCUAAUCUGGAGGACUCACUAAACAGAGAACAUCCCUGGUCAUCCCUACUGCCUCUGAUCUGGUGGACUCACUAAACAGAGAACAUCCCUGGUCGUCCCUACUGCCUCUAAUCUGGAGGACUCACUAAACAGAGAACAUCCCUGGUCAUCCCUACUGCCUCUGACCUGGAGGACUCACUAAACAGAGAACAUCCCUGGUCAUCCCUACUGCCUCUGAUCUGGAGGACUCACUAAACAGAGAACAUCCCUGGUCAUCCCUACUGCCUCUGAUCUGGAGGACUCACUAAACACACACACAGUGCGUUUGUAAAUCUCUUCUGAGUGUUGGAGCCCCUGGCUAUCCGUAAAUUUAAAAAAAAACUUAAGAGAAAAUCAUACCGUCAGGAGUUUGAUUUAUAUUCUUUGCUUUAUCCCACCAGUUUCAUACUUUUUCCCACCAUUGUACUUAAAGUACAUUUUAAAAACAGAUACUUUGACUCAAGUACUAUUUUACUGGGUGAUUUUCACUUAUACUCAAGUCAUUUUCGAUUAAGGUGUCUUUCGUUUGACUCAAAUAGGACAUUUAAGUAGUUGUUUCUGCUAUAAACACACUUAUGUUUUCUGAUUUAAAAACAACAAUAAACAAAGAAAAUUCAUAUUAAUGUUAUAAUUGUUUUUGUAUAAUUGAUUACAUUGACAUUUUAUCCAUAAAGAUAUGCAAACAAUUUAACUAUUUAAAGGAGAUACUAUUUAAACUGUACAGAUUCAACAUUAUUAUUAUUAUUAUUAUUGUUAUUAUUAUUAUUAUUAUUAUGAUUAUUUGUGAAGACCCCUCUGUUUUGUGUCAGAACAAUCCUCAUGCUGUAGGUCUGUGCUGUGUCGUGAGUCACUGUUUCCAUCUGUAGGUUUUACCCCAUUGACAUCCAAUCAUUUGUUUAUGUGGUGUGUAUAGGUUCAUUGUAUAUAUACAUGCUGAAGGCUCUACGGUCAUCCCAGGCCCUAACCAAGGUAGAGAGGGGGUCUGAACCCAUGCUGAAGGUUUUACGGUCAUCACCAGGCCCUAACCAAGGUAGAGAGGGGGUCUGAACUCAUGCUGAAGGCUGUACAGUCAUCACCAGGCCCUAACCAAGGUCGAGAGGGGGUCUGACCCCAUGCUGAAGGCUUUACGGUCAUCACCAGGCCCUAACCAAGGUAGAGAGGGGUCUGAACCCAUGCUGAAGGCUGUACGGUCAUCACCAGGUCCUAACCAAGGUAGAGAGGGGGUCUGAACCCAUGCUGAAGGCUCUACGGUCAUCACCAGGCCCUAACCAAGGUAGAGAGGGGGUCUGAACCCAUGCUGAAGGCUCUACGGUCAUCACCAGGCCCUAACCAAGGUAGAGAGGGGUCUGAACUCAUGCUGAAGGCUGUGCGGUCAUCACCAGGCCCUAACCAAGGUAGAGAGGGGGUCUGAACCCAUGUUGAAGGCUCUACGGUCAUCACCAGGCCCUAACCAAGGUAGAGAGGGGUCUGAACUCAUGCUGAAGGCUCUACGGUCAUCACCAGGCCCUAACCAAGGUAGAGAGGGGGUCUGAACCCAUGCUGAAGGCUGUACGGUCAUCACCAGGCCCUAACCAAGGUAGAGAGGGGGUCUGAACCCAUGCUGAAGGCUCUACGGUCAUCACCAGGCCCUAACCAAGGUAGAGAGGGGGUCUGAACCCAUGCUGAAGGCUGUACGGUCACCACAACACCAAUACUAGUGUUUUAAUCCACAAUGGGGAGUUGUCACACAUUGUUUAAAUACAUUUUUUUUACAUUAACACCAUAUCAAGGAACUAACAGAUGGCUCGAUCAGGUUGAUUGAUAUACCAGUAGCCUCAUCGUGCCCCCCUCCCUUUGUUUAUUAAAGCUUUGCCAUUUAAACAAUUAUUGAUAUAAACGAGAACAUGAGGUGAAAGGAACGGCUUGAGGGGACAGGAAGAAGUGUUUGUCGUGUUUGUUGCGUCCACUCUUACAUUGUAUUUGUGUUGUCAACAACACUCACUUUCUUCUUUUUCGUUUUGUUGUUGCCAAGUGCCUUUGGCUACAAUCCAUGCCUGUAGCACAGUGUUGCCUGUAGCACAGUGUUGCCUGUAGCAGUGUUGCCUGUAUUGUGUCACUGUUGUCUGUUUCAACUUUCCAUCAAAGUAACAAUAACGCUCAUUAGUGUGGUGCAUGUGUGCCAAAUGGCACCCUAUUCCCUAUGUUGUGCACUACUUUUGGACUAGAUCUCUAAGGGUCCUGGUCAGAAGUAGUGGACGAUAGAGGGCAUAGGAUGCCAUUUGAGAUGUAGAACCUCUUGUGUCAUCACCGGUAGUGUCGUACAUGUCCACGCCUGUUAUUUAACCACUCUGAAAUAUCAUGAGUGAUACAGACAGAGGAGGCUGGUGAUGGGAGGACGGCUCGUAGUGAAACGGAAACUGCGUGUUGGAUGUGUUUGAAUCCCGAUCCAUUUCAUCCCGGUUCCAGACGUUACUAUGGGCCCAUCCUCUGAUUUAUAGUGACACCAGCCACCCCUGGAUACGUGAUCAACACAGAACCUUUGAAUAGCCAAUGAUAAGAUGAUAUAGUCAUUGAUAUAAUGUAAUCCAAUGAACAUGAUGCGGUCCUCUGCUGCUAGUUAAUUACACCCUCAUUUUUUGGCUGUACACGUUGUACGCCACAUCUUAUUGGCUGUACACGCUGUACGCCACAUCUUAUUGGCUGUACACAUUGGACCUUUGGCAGGAACAUGUUGUCAUGUUAAUUUGACUUCCUUCAAUAAAAGCUUUGCCACAGCCUCACGGUGUGUGUGUGUGUGUGUGUGUGUGUGUGUGUGUGUGUGUGUGUGUGUGUGUGUGUGUGUGUGUGUGUGUGUGUGUGUGUGUGUGUGUGUGUGUGAGAGGGAGAGC